CGCACGGUGGCUUAGUGGUUAGCACGUUCGCCUCACACCUCCAGCUUCCGGGGUUCGAUUCCCGCCGUGUGU